rnacentral:lncRNA from 1 species
CCAAUUCUGCAUCCAAUUCGUGCAGAAUUGACUCUGACUCAGUCCGACACUCUCCAGAGAUGUCGACUAGUCACUAAUACUGAAGCCAAUCCUAUCCAAAGGUCCAGAACACUACACACAGAGUCUACCGGACCUAAGAAGAUCCAACGGGUCAGUAACCAACCCACUCACCUGAAGUACACUAUCUCACAAACCCCCACACAGAUCCCCGUAUCGGUUUCCCAAAACCGAUUGUCGUAACUCACCGGAAGUCCCGAAAACCACACCGGGACGCCGUUGGGACCCACUAAGUGUCCUGAACUCACCGACUCGUGCCACGAGUCACCCGCUGCCCCAAAGCACUCCAAUUUGGAUGCCUUGGCAGCGAACACGAGGUAAUACAACAAUACGAUCAUCGCUAGAUAAUCGUACGAAUUCGGGUUCCCGGAAGUGUCUAUUUCGACACUUGGAACCCACCGUCGCUCACCCAUCAUCAUCGAACCCACAAAAUGAUGAUGGUGACCAGCCAACAAGGCUCAGCGACGAAACACGAAGCAACCAAACACCGUCGGAAAGAAUCCGAACCGAAACCGCGUUCUUUCGGCGAAUUUCGCCGAAAAACGCACCGAAAUCGACCUACCGAUUCCGCGAAAGCUAACGGACCAUGGACAAUCAGUCGAGCGAUCAUAACAAACUCCCACACACUGCCCACAGUAGCCACGCAAAGCACAAUCGCAUAAAAGACCCUCUAAUUACAUAAAAUAUCGUCAUUUUAUGUAAUUUGAGCGAUCAAGCGGCUCGUUCACGCAAACCGAGGACUUCCGAAGUCCGCAGAGACACGUACUGACAGGUCUCGACGUACCGGAGUCCGUGCUCAUGAUCCGGAGUACAGCGGCUCGCUGUGGGAAGCGCGGGAGCAACCCAAAGGUUCAGCGAAUAGCGCGCAGUCAGGGAAGAUCGUGCUGAACAGAACUAACCGGGCACUGCUGAUCCAAAAGAAGGUGAGCACUGUGAUCA